GUGCCAGCAGCCGCGGUAAUACGGGGGGUGCGAGCGUUGUCCGGAAUCACUGGGCGUAAAGGGCGCGUAGGUGGUUUGAUAAGGCUGUGGUGAAAGCCCGGGGCUCAACCCCGGGUCUGCCGUGGCGACUGUCAGACUGGAGGGCUCGAGAGGCAGACGGAAUUCCGGGUGUAGCGGUGGAAUGCGUAGAGAUCCGGAAGAAGACCGGUGGCGAAGGCGGUCUGCUGGCGAGUACCUGACACUGAGGCGCGACAGCGUGGGGAGCAAACAGGAUUAGAAACCCCGGUAGUCC
rnacentral:rRNA from 1 species